rnacentral:lncRNA from 1 species
GCGGGCUCGACGCGCCGCACGCUCGCGGAUCGCGCGCACCCACGUGAUCGCGCACGCUCUCGCGAUAAACGUUCCGUCCUUAACUAUAUCGGUACUUACAAUUACCUAAACUCCCUUGGUACACCCUGUACACACCUUUCACGAUAGGGUGUCACCACACGCUCCUCUCGGGCUUUUCCUCACCCUCGCGGGAAUGUCCGCUUCCGCUUGAUUGCGCCAUCACGUGGACGAUUCCUUCCGAUGAUAUCUGCGGACGAGAGCAGAGUGCUCUCGACUGUCUGGCUCCGAACCGAUACGUGCCGAUCGCGACGAUCUUGUCGGGAUAGUGAGUGGUAUCCGAUGGCGAAUCGUUUAUCGAAAGGCGACGUCUAGAUCGAGUAGCUUCGUGAGAGAUAGUAUAGAUAUCAUAUAUGUUUUCUAGAACGAAAUGAUAUUUUAAAGGAUAACUCUAUUGGUUUCUACUAUCGACGUCUUAUAUACUUUAUUUCAACGCGAUAACCAGGAAUGUGACUGUGCACUCUGGAUCAGUGUGAUCGUGCCUCAGAAUUCUGAAGUGGCGUUUCGAGAAUCUGCGUGAGAUUUUACGAGAAACUCGUGAAUGUGAAUAAACUUGUCCACUGGUGCCGAGAAGGGUUCUAAAAAAAAGUCAGUUGAGAACCUUUCUUUUCCUCGUGGAUUACAUGCUGGACCAAAUCAUUUCGAUACAGUGGCGAGUCUUAUCGAAAGAGAGUCGAAAUAUCGCGAGAUGGCUCACGUGAAAAGCCAAUGGACGUGUAAACCAUUAAAAAUUGGCGGGCAAAUCCGCGCUCGCGCUACUAGGAAAAAGUUCGUCCUAUAAGAAAAGUAAGAGAAAGAAGAAAGAAACAAGAAAAGAGAGAAAAAAAGAGAAAAAAUAGCCACAAGAGCGAUAAGGACGACUUAUCACGAGUAAAGGCAUUCGGUCGAUCGCGUAUCCCAAAAAUAAUGGGUUGAACUUUCGAGUGGCGUUUUCCAUUCGUAAGAAGAAGUUAAAAUGGAAGCACAGCGAGACGAUGCUGCUUCAACUUUCACGUCGACUACGUUCUUAACGAAUGGUAGUCGGAAAUUAUGCGUUAAUUACACAAAGAAGACGAAGAAAUCGGUGUUAAGUGAUAAAGUGUGAAAUCCAGCAACAACAGCGAUAAAGUAUCGAACUUCCGUAAACGCGGCAGUGUUGUCCUUUUAAAAAUUAUCCCUCAUCAAAACCGACCGCGCCUGCAUUCUCUGUUCGUUCGAUUCGUAUCGAGUGUCUCGUCGAUCUUCAUCGUCCGCACAUCCCGUCCGUUAUUUAUACAUUCGCGAGGAAAUCUCGGGAGCGUAAUCUUCCUCUCGCAACUUUUAUCGUCGCAUCGCAUUCGUCGCGCGGCCAUUACGGCCGUGGUCGAAUUAAAUCUUAUUAAGCAGCGGUGUAAAUGCAAAUACAAGAAACGCGAAGCCGGGGAAGAGUGGCCGCGAGAUAGACGGAGAGAGGCGUAAUACCUGCGAGGAAACGAGGAAACGUUACUCGUGGUUCAAGGACCCCGCAAAGUUACGAGAAAGACGAGCAGCGACGACGACGACGACGACGACAACAACAACUGCAACUCGAGUGGGAAGACAUGUUCGUUAUGCUCGCCAAAAUCGCUCAUCGACAAUAAAACGGUUUGUUAAAAAAAAA